rnacentral:rRNA from 1 species
GACGAACGCUGGCGGCGUGCUUAACACAUGCAAGUCGAACGGAAAGGCCCUGCUUUUGUGGGGUGCUCGAGUGGCGAACGGGGGAGUAACACGUGAGUAACCUGCCCUUGACUUUGGGAUAACUUCAGGAAACUGGGGCUAAUACAGGAUAGGAGCUCCUGCUGCAUGGUGGGGGUUGGAAAGUUUCGGCGGUUGGGGAUGGACUCGCGGCUUAUCAGCUUGUUGGUGAGGUAGUGGCGUACCAAGGCUUUGACGGGUAGCCGGCAUGAGAGGGUGACCGGCCACAUUGGGACUGCGGUACGGACCAGUCUGGAACGGGAGGCAGCAGGGGGAAAUAUUACACAGUGGGGGGAAGCCAGAUGCAGCAGCGCUGGGUGCGGGAUGACGGCUUUCGGGUUGUAAACCGCUGUCGCAUGUGACGAAGCGUGAGUGACGGUAAUGGGUAAAGAAGCACCGGCUAACUACGUG